AGAGUUUGAUCCUGGCUCAGGAUGAACGCUAGCUACAGGCUUAACACAUGCAAGUCGAGGGGCAGCAUGGUCUUAGCUUGCUAAGGCCGAUGGCGACCGGCGCACGGGUGAGUAACACGUAUCCAACCUGCCGUCUACUCUUGGACAGCCUUCUGAAAGGAAGAUUAAUACAAGAUGGCAUCAUGAGUCCGCAUGUUCACAUGAUUAAAGGUAUUCCGGUAGACGAUGGGGAUGCGUUCCAUUAGAUAGUAGGCGGGGUAACGGCCCACCUAGUCUACGAUGGAUAGGGGUUCUGAGAGGAAGGUCCCCCACAUUGGAACUGAGACACGGUCCAAACUCCUACGGGAGGCAGCAGUGAGGAAUAUUGGUCAAUGGACGAGAGUCUGAACCAGCCAAGUAGCGUGAAGGAUGACUGCCCUAUGGGUUGUAAACUUCUUUUAUAAAGGAAUAAAGUGAGGGACGUGUCCCUUUUUGUAUGUACCUUAUGAAUAAGGAUCGGCUAACUCCGUGCCAGCAGCCGCGGUAAUACGGAGGAUCCGAGCGUUAUCCGGAUUUAUUGGGUUUAAAGGGAGCGUAGGCGGACGCUUAAGUCAGUUGUGAAAGUUUGCGGCUCAACCGUAAAAUUGCAGUUGAUACUGGGUGUCUUGAGUACAGUAGAGGCAGGCGGAAUUCGUGGUGUAGCGGUGAAAUGCUUAGAUAUCACGAAGAACUCCGAUUGCGAAGGCAGCUCACUGGACUGCAACUGACACUGAUGCUCGAAAGUGUGGGUAUCAAACAGGAUUAGAUACCCUGGUAGUCCACACAGUAAACGAUGAAUACUCGCUGUUUGCGAUAUACAGUAAGCGGCCAAGCGAAAGCGUUAAGUAUUCCACCUGGGGAGUACGCCGGCAACGGUGAAACUCAAAGGAAUUGACGGGGGCCCGCACAAGCGGAGGAACAUGUGGUUUAAUUCGAUGAUACGCGAGGAACCUUACCCGGGCUUGAAUUGCAGAGGAAGGAUUUGGAGACAAUGACGCCCUUCGGGGCCUCUGUGAAGGUGCUGCAUGGUUGUCGUCAGCUCGUGCCGUGAGGUGUCGGCUUAAGUGCCAUAACGAGCGCAACCCUUAUCGAUAGUUACUAGCAGGUCAUGCUGAGGACUCUAUUGAGACUGCCGUCGUAAGAUGUGAGGAAGGUGGGGAUGACGUCAAAUCAGCACGGCCCUUACGUCCGGGGCUACACACGUGUUACAAUGGGGGGUACAGAAGGCAGCUACACGGCGACGUG
rnacentral:rRNA from 1 species